rnacentral:rRNA from 1 species
CCAGCAGCCGCGGUAAUACGGAGGAUGCAAGCGUUAUCCGGAAUUAUUGGGCGUAAAGCGUCCGCAGGUUAGGCUCAUCAAGUCUGCUGUCAAAGGCCGGGGCUUAACCCCGGAAAGGCAGUGGAAACUGGAGAGCUAGAGUGCAGUAGGGGCGUAGAGGGAAUUCCCGGUGUAGCGGUGAAAUGCGUAGAGAUCGGGAAGAACA